AAUCUGGUGUCUGGCCACCAAAGGCAGGCGUGCAGGGCCUUGGCUACUGUGCUAGGUCUGCUGAUGGCCACAAGCCUUUACUCCCAGCUCUGCCUUAGCAGUGGGGGUGUCUGAAGGCUCGGGAGACACAGAUCCUCUAGGUUCCUGGGGAGAUGAUGGAAAGAAGCUUGCGAUAACUAAUUAGCAGCUCCGGCCACUGGAGAAAGCUCGAUGCCUUGAGAAAAGAAAAUGCACAGGAGAAACACAAGAUAGAUGGAGCUGAAUUAAAGGUGAGCUUUUGGCCGGG
rnacentral:lncRNA from 1 species